CCUAACUGAUCUAACCAUUUGCUCUCAGGCGCUUCAGAUAAAACAUGCUGACGGUAAGGCAAGGGCACAACUAUCUGUUUCACAUUGUCCCACCCAGAAUCAGCUGCUAACAGAGGUGACUAUUGGCGUGCUGGCAUGAGCACACUGUCACACAAACGUCAGGACUUUUGUUUCCAAUCAUACGGGCUUGUGCACGGGGAGGGACCAUGUUAGCAAAAUUGACAUUACCCGGCGGCGAAUACAGGACCUCUAGUGUGGGGGUAACCUUGCCUCCGGCAAUGUCAUUCAGGAGUACUACACCCUGGACAGGCAGCUCGGGACACACUGCUACUGGGAAGAAACCAGUAAUUAAGUCAGACAUGAUAUGUAUAUGGUGCACCGGCCGUGGAACAUACAGUAUCCCAUUUCGAUGCCCCGCAGUACGGAGUCAAAACCACAGGCAGUCUAAUCAGUGAAAGACAACGCUGAGGCUAAAAUCACUGGCUGUGAACAAGCAGUAUCUCGCAACACUUUUACCAAGCGCUGGUCAGCAGGCAACCCGGCAAGCUAGACGGCGGUGAGGGUGGAUUGCGGAGGAUACUGCGUGGUUUACUACCAGUUACUGUGGAGAAAGCAGUCUUAUGUACCAGAACAUACUCCUCAGCUAAAGUAGUGGCUGCUGCCCGUGUCUGCACUUGCUGCUCAUUCAGAUACAUCACAACACUGUUAAGGAGACCCUUCUUAAAGUCCUCCAAAAGCAUUAACUCUGACUGAAUUAAGGAACCAACUCAUAAAUGCGCAAAAUGGCAGCCUUGAACUUCUCAUAAUCUACGUUGUCCUCCAGAGGUAGUGCGGCAUUGGCUUCCUGAGCUUUACCUUGGAGCAGUGGUUCUCAACUGGUGGGGCCCGCACUGGGGGGGCGCGGACA